GAACGCCGUAUGAAGUAAAAAUUUCAUGUACGGUGUAUAAAGGGGAAUAUAGAAACAAAUAUCAUAAAAAUCUCUAUUCUAU
rnacentral:ncRNA from 1 species